GGAGGCUUUGAAGUGUGGACGCCAGUCUGCAUGGAGCCGGCCUUGAAAUACCACCCUUUAAUGUUUGAUGUUCUAACGUGGACCCGUGAUCCGGGUUGCGGACAGUGUCUGGUGGGUAGUUUGACUGGGGCGGUCUCCUCCUAAAGAGUAACGGAGGAGCACGAAGGUUGGCUAAUCCUGGUCGGACAUCAGGAGGUUAGUGCAAUGGCAUAAGCCAGCUUGACUGCGAGCGUGACGGCGCGAGCAGGUGCGAAAGCAGGUCAUAGUGAUCCGGUGGUUCUGAAUGGAAGGGCCAUCGCUCAACGGAUAAAAGGUACUCCGGGGAUAACAGGCUGAUACCGCCCAAGAGUUCAUAUCGACGGCGGUGUUUGGCACCUCGAUGUCGGCUCAUCACAUCCUGGGGCUGAAGUAGGUCCCAAGGGUAUGGCUGUUCGCCAUUUAAAGUGGUACGCGAGCUGGGUUUAGAACGUCGUGAGACAGUUCGGUCCCUAUCUGCCGUGGGCGCUGGAGAACUGAGGGGGGCUGCUCCUAGUACGAGAGGACCGGAGUGGACGCAUCACUGGUGUUCGGGUUGUCAUGCCAAUGGCACUGCCCGGUAGCUAAAUGCGGAAGAGAUAAGUGCUGAAAGCAUCUAAGCACGAAACUUGCCCCGA
rnacentral:rRNA from 3 species